rnacentral:rRNA from 1 species
GACGAACGCUGGCGGCGUGCCUAACACAUGCAAGUCGAGCGAAUGAAGUUCCUUCGGGAAUGGAUUUAGCGGCGGACGGGUGAGUAACACGUGGGCAACCUGCCUCAUAGAGGGGAAUAGCCUCCCGAAAGGGAGAUUAAUACCGCAUAAGAUUGUAGUACCGCAUGAUACAGCAAUUAAAGGAGCAAUCCGCUAUGAGAUGGGACCGCGGCGCAUUAGCUAGUUGGUGAGGUAAUGGCUCACCAAGGCGACGAUGCGUAGCCGACCAGAGAGGGUGAUCGGCCACAUUGGGACUGAGACACGGCCCAGACUCCUACGGGAAGCAGCAGUGGGGAAUAUUGCACAAUGGGGGAAACCCUGAUGCAGCAACGCCGCGUGAGUGAUGACGGCCUUCGGGUUGUAAAGCUCUGUCUUCAGGGACGAUAAUGACGGUACCUGAGGAGGAAGCCACGGCUAACUACGUG